GGGAGGUUGGCGUGGACGUACCACUCGCCAACCGGGUCAGGUCCGGAAGGAAGCAGCCCUAACGAGAUUU
rnacentral:SRP_RNA from 1 species